UGCAGAUGGAGACUCCCAGCUCAACCCUGCUGUUGUAGACACAGUGCUGACUGGCAUCCCAGGUCCCCGGGGUCCCCCGGGACCCCCUGGUCCCCCAGGACCACAUGGUCCACCAGGACCCCCAGGAGCACCUGGAUCCCAGGGUGAACCCAGUGUGAAGGGAGAAGAGGACAAAGCCACCACCACAGAGGGAGAAGGCGUGCAGCAGCUUCGAGAGGCCCUGAAGAUCCUGGCAGAGAGGGUCCUUAUCCUGGAACACAUGAUUGGGGUCCAUGAUCCCCUGGCCUCCCCUGAGGGGGGCUCUGGGCAGGAUGCGGCCCUGAGAGCCAACCUCAAGAUGAAGCGAGGAGGUCCUCGACCUGAUGGCAUCCUGGCUGCCCUGCUGGGCCCUGACCCUGCACAGAAGAGCCCAGACCAGGCUGGAGACAGGAAGUAAGAAUCCCUCUCUCCUGUGCGAGCCCAGCCCUGCAGCUGAACAGCGGUUGUAUCCUGAAGACUCCCUAUGUGGAACUGGGCAUCAGGCAGGGACAGUUGUGGAGGACUCUGGGAGUCUGGCAUCCCUGAGGAGAGAUGGUGCUUCCAAGGGGCAGGGCCCAGUGCUAACUAGCACCCCGACAGAACUUUUCUUUUGCCCCUGUCCCCUACCUCCCACUCCCGCUGAGACGGGGUCUGGGUGGGCUGCGUGGAGGUAGGAGACUAAUCACAAUUCUCAAUGGCUGAGCCCCUGCUCUGUCAGGGUCUGGGCCAGCUCCGGUGCUUUCUCUAUAGUGUCUCAUUUAACCCUUAAAAGGUAGGUCUGAGAUCCCCACUCAGCUUGGGGACUGAUUAUAGAGGAUACACACGACCCAGAUCCUGGAUGUGGGGGUGUGGGGGGAGGGUAGAUUUUAACCCAGGCCUCACUGUUGCUGAAGCCAUGACCUACAACCCUCUACAUGAGGUGUGUGGCCCCUCAGAUUCCUGAGGCAGCUGGGCUGCCGGGAGGCUGGGGCACCUGGAAAGACAUCAGGACACUACAGAACUUUGGGCCUGCCUCUCUUCCUCUGGUCACUUUCUAGGGCUGGGUAGGGGCCAACUUCCAAGAGGGGAGUUUGGAGCCAUGAGGAAGGGUCUCUGAGAAUGAGAAGGGCCAAAUCUGUUCGGUAAUGCUUCCUAAUGUCUUCCAGUCUAGCUGAGCCCACUGUCCUUACCUGCCCUCCCCCAUGGAGAAGGAAGGAGCAUUUAAUGAGACCAUCCACUCAGUGUGGGACCUACAACCUCCAUCAUGGCCACUCUUCCAUGACUAUCUCUAGAGCCCUGCUAUCUGAUGGAUGACACAAAUCCGUGUCCCUUUUACAAACAGCCUAUACCCUAGGCUUGCUAGCGGCCGUGUCCACACACCUUGAGGCUGGGGUCCUAGCAGGUUCCACAGAAGAACUAUUCCACAGCCCUGAAGACCUCACUGACUGGUGCUUGGUCUCUUAUGACCCACAUAACCUGGUGCUCCUCUAACCUGGCCUUGGCCCCAGCACUCAGAGGAUAGAAAGGACCACCCUUGGGUAUGUCUCCCUGCCUGGCAGGAGUGACCGUCCCUAAAGUUCUUGGUGCUUAUGCAAGGCUGGAACCUGAUCCCCUGGGCCCUGUAGGCUCUCCCUGAGCUAUUCUCUGUCUCCAAGAGGUGAUCAGAGACCUGUGAUGUUAUUUCAAAUAAAGGUGCUCUCUCCAUG
rnacentral:lncRNA from 1 species